GAUGAACGCUGGCGGCGUGCUUAACACAUGCAAGUCGAACGAUGAAGGGGGAGCUUGCUCCUCUGGAUUAGUGGCGAACGGGUGAGUAACACGUGAGCAAUCUGCCCCUGACUCUGGGAUACGCGCUGGAAACGGCGUCUAAUACCGGAUACGAGCCGAGCAGGCAUCUGCAUCGGUUGGAAAGAACUUCGGUCAGGGAUGAGCUCGCGGCCUAUCAGCUAGUUGGUGAGGUAAUGGCUCACCAAGGCGACGACGGGUAGCCGGCCUGAGAGGGUGACCGGCCACACUGGGACUGAGACACGGCCCAGACUCCUACGGGAGGCAGCAGUGGGGAAUAUUGCACAAUGGGCGCAAGCCUGAUGCAGCAACGCCGCGUGAGGGACGAAGGCCUUCGGGCUGUAAACCUCUUUUAGCAGGGAAGAAGCGAGAGUGACGGUACCUGCAGAAAAAGCACCGGCUAACUACGUGCCAGCAGCCGCAGUAAGAC
rnacentral:rRNA from 1 species